rnacentral:lncRNA from 1 species
CUUCUCUACUACAGGUUUCUUCUCUUUAUUUUGUUGGUGAGAACCAGUUAAGGAAGACAAUUUUCUAAUCUUCUUUGAAAGGAGGCUGUUUUUUCUUGUCUUGGGUGACUUAGUUGGUGAACCACGAGGUUGCACCAUGUGAUGCCUAAUCGAUAUCCUGGCCGCCAAACUUGGCUUGGAUUCAUAAUCCACGUUUUUCCUCGUCUUGGGUGACUUAGUUGGUGAACCACGAGAUUGCACCAUGUGAUGCCUAGUCGAUAUCCUGGCCGCCAAACUUGGCUUGGAUUCAUAAUCCAUAUCCGCACCUUGCAAAGCUGAGCUGUUCUCACUGUGAUCCUCAU